UGGGGAAUCUUGCACAAUGGAGGAAACUCUGAUGCAGCGACGCCGCGUGAGCGAAGAAGCCUUUCGGGGUGUAAAGCUCUUACGCCAGGGACGAUAAUGACGGUACCUGGAGAAGCAGCUGCGGCUAACUACGUGCCAGCAGCCGCGGUAAUACGUAGGCAGCAAGCGUUGUUCGGAAUUACUGGGCGUAAAGGGUGCGUAGGCGGCGCUCUAUGUUUGGUGUGAAAUCUCCCGGCUUAACUGGGAGGGUGCACUGAAAACUGGGGCGCUCGAGUAUGGGAGAGGAAAGCGGAAUUCCUGGUGUAGCGGUGAAAUGCGUAGAGAUCAGGAGGAACACCUGCGGUGCAGACGGCUUUCUGGACCAUCACUGACGCUGAGGCACGAAAGCGUGGGUAGCAAACA
rnacentral:rRNA from 1 species